GACUUGGACAAUCCUUUAUUAAUGUGACCUCAAAUCAGGUAGGACUACCCGCUGAACUUAAGCAUAUCAAUAAGCGGAGGAAAAGAACUAACAAGGAUUCCCCUAGUAACUGCGAGUGAAGCGGGAAAAGCUCAAAUUUAAAAUCUGUCAGUCUUUGACUGUCCGAGUUGUAAUCUAGAGAAGUGUUAUCCGCGCUGGCCCGUGUACAAGUCUCCUGGAANGGAGCGUCAUAGAGGGUGAGAAUCCCGUCUCUGACANGGACUACCAGGGCUUUUGUGAUGCGCUCUCAAAGAGUCGAGUUGUUUGGGAAUGCAGCUCAAAAUGGGUGGUAAAUUCCAUCUAAAGCUAAAUAUUGGCGAGAGACCGAUAGCGAACAAGUACCGUGAGGGAAAGAUGAAAAGGACUUUGGAAAGAGAGUUAAACAGUACGUGAAAUUGCUGAAAGGGAAACGCUUGAAGUCAGUCGCGUUGUCUAGGAAUCAACCUUGCUUUUGCUUGGUGUACUUUCUGGUUAACGGGUCAGCAUCAAUUUUGAUCAUUGGAAAAAGGUUAAGGGAAUGUGGCAUCCUUGGAUGUGUUAUAGCCCUUGAUUGCAUACAAUGGUUGGGAUUGAGGAACUCAGCACGCCGCAAGGCCGGGUUGUUAACCACGUACGUGCUUAGGAUGCUGGCAUAAUGGCUUUAAUCGACCCG
rnacentral:rRNA from 1 species